GAUGAACGCUAGCUACAGGCUUAACACAUGCAAGUCGAGGGGAAACGACAUCGAAAGCUUGCUUUUGAUGGGCGUCGACCGGUGCACGGGUGAGUAACGCGUAUCCAACCUGCCCACCACUUGGGGAUAACCUUGCGAAAGUCAGACUAAUACCCAAUGACGUCUCUAGAAGACAUCUGAAGGAGCUUAAAGAUUUAUCGGUGAUGGAUGGGGAUGCGUCUGAUUAGCUUGUUGGCGGGGUAACGGCCCACCAAGGCGACGAUCAGUAGGGGUUCUGAGAGGAAGGUCCCCCACAUUGGAACUGAGACACGGUCGAAACUCCUACGGGAGGCAGCAGUGAGGAAUAUUGGUCAAUGGGCGAGAGCCUGAACCAGCCAAGUAGCGUGCAGGAUGACGGCCCUAUGGGUUGUAAACUGCUUUUAUAAGGGAAUAAAGUGAGUCUCGUGAGACUUUUUGCAUGUACCUUAUGAAUAAGGACCGGCUAAUUCCGUGCCAGCAGCCGCGGUAA
rnacentral:rRNA from 1 species